UACGUAGGGAGCAAGCGUUGUCCGGAAUCAUUGGGCGUAAAGCGCGCGUAGGUGGCCAUGUAAGUCCGCUGUGAAAGUCAAAGGCUCAACCUUUGAAAGCCGGUGGAUACUGCAUGGCUAGAGUACGGAAGAGGCGAGUGGAAUUCCUGGUGUAGCGGUGGAAUGCGCAGAUAUCAGGAGGAACACCAAGUAGCGAAGGCAGCUCGCUGGGACGUUACUGACACUGAGGCGCGAAAGCGUGGGGAGCGAACAGG
rnacentral:rRNA from 1 species